rnacentral:rRNA from 1 species
UACAGAGGGUGCGAGCGUUAAUCGGAAUUAUUGGGCGUAAAGGGAGCGUAGGCGGAUGUGCAAGUGAUAGGUGAAAUACCCGGGCUUAACCUGGGGAGGUCCUAUCAGACUGCACGUCUAGAGUAUGGUAGAGGAAGGUGGAAUUCCUGGUGUAGCGGUGAAAUGCGUAGAUAUCAGGAAGAACAUCAAUGGCGAAGGCAGCCUUCUGGGCCAUUACUGACGCUGAGGCUCGAAAGCGUGGGGAGCGAACAGG